UCUAGCCAGCGCAAGGCUGGGGGGUGGGGAAACCGGAGAGAGGCAGGGCGUUGAACUGGAGAGGAUGGAGAAUAAGAUUAUUUUAAUGCCCUCUGCUGCCCCGUUUGCCCUCUCCCCUUCCCGAUUUAGGGGUGAGGGCCUGCUACCCCCUUUAACCUAGAAGGAUAAGGGAAAAGUAGAGGGGUGGUAGGAAGAGGAGGGAGGAGACGAGAGGGCCCAUAACACAACCUAGAAGAUUGAGAAACCAUGAGCCCGCCCCCACCCGCAUCUCCCCCUCCCCUUGGCUGGCGGCUGCCGCAGCUCCAGCUAAUAGGCGUCAGCGUGGGCUCCCCGGAGUGAGUCGCUAGGUAACCGAGCUCCGCAGACCAAGAAGUGGGGAAGCCCGAGCUGCUCGUCACCCUGAAGGCAGGAGGGGGCGCAGGAACCACUCCUCUUCCGCGCCCUCCAUCUCCAACCAGGCACUCCCGGAUUGCCCCUACCUUAGAUACGCGAGUGUGAACACACACACACACACACACACACACACACACACACACACACACACACACACACGCACGCACAGACACACUCAGACACGCACACACACAGGCACAUACGCACACAUACACACAAACAGGCAUGCUUCCUAUCCCCACCUUCCACUCGAUUCAUUGACCCGCUCCGCUCCCCUACCCCGCUGGAAAGAAGGCAAGAGGGGACCUUCCACCCACCCCAUCUCCAUCUCGGGGGUUGGGGGUGGGGGAGAGGACUCCUGACAUUGCAAACCACCCUUCCAAGCCGUCUGGCACCCACAGCACUGUCCGUUCCCCCAACUUAGUUGGACCCGCGGAAGCUGAGGUGGUCGCUCCUGCUUCUUUCAGUGUCUCUGCUGCUGCCGCCGCCGCCGCCGCCACCGCCGCCUUUGCCUUCGCCGCUGCUGCUAUUGCUGUUGGCGUCGGUAAGAUGGUUCCCAAAUUGCUUUAAUGGACGUGGGUUAUUGUUGUACCUUGAAGAAGCAAGCAUACGAACUCGCCGCGUGGGAAAGUUUUCUGUGUUCUCUGAAGAUCGCCCAGUCGUCAGAGAAUCUAGGUGGGGAUGGUUCUUUUAAAGCUACUCUUCUUUGCCUUCUAAGGCCUCCCCACCCAUCCAUUCCCUAUCCACUUUAGGACUGUAGUUAGUGCCCGGGCUUCAAUAAGGUUUCUCUCUUUUGCUUCUCCAAAGUCUGUGUGAUGACCCCAGAAGCUGGGCAUGACGAUCCCCUGGGAGCAGCAAGGAAAUGGUAGUGCUGACCUGAGACUUCACUGGAGGGAAAAUCUUUCCAGGAGAAGGAAAUGAAAUGAGCUCUAGGGAUCUGGUGCCCAGUAGCCAUCUGAAGCCCGUUGAAAACUUGUCGCUUUGUCCAGGAGAAUGGUGCUGAAGACGCCUGCCCAGUUCACAGGAUACCUGGAUGCCAUGCUCAGCCCAGCGUCUGCAGAAUGCUCCCUGCCCCUCUCUUCUUCCUGAUGCACUGCACGGUUAGCCUAAGGAGGAGGAUAAAGACAUUGGCCACCAAGAUGGUAAUCACUAUUGGUAAUGAAGAAGACAGGGGCAGUCAAGAAAAGGAAAACAAAGAAGAAAGUAUCCUGGCAAUGCUAGGAAUUAUCGGGACCAUCCUAAACCUCAUUGUCAUCAUCUUUGUAUAUAUUUAUACAACUUUGUAAAGGGCAGAGCAGGGAGGGAUCUUUCUGCUGAGACACCACAGACUCCUAGAAGGAAAGAAAUUGGCUGUGAAGUCUAAGCACCAUAGCUGUCCACAUUCUGCAAGAUCAGAUGGUCUUUUGGGCUCUUCAAACAGGUUAUCAACAGAACACACCAAUCUGCAAAUAGCAGACACAAAAGCACAAUGGAUUCAGUGAAACUUGUCUGAACAGAAUCAAGAAAAACUUCUGUGUAAGGAUGGAUCAAGGCAGAAGUCUCAUGGGAUUGACAGUGUCAAACAGAAAAGUUAAUUAAAAAUAGACAAGAGAAAAACACAUUCAACAUAGGACUAUGUGAACACGGAUUGUGUCUUCUCAAAAAUUAACAUUGUCUUCAUCACUGGUCAAACUCAUUGACCAGCUUCUUUGUCCAUUAACUCUGGGGCCCAUAUAGUGGGGUUGAAUUUAAAACAAUUAUUUAUCAACAAUCAUAUAAAUGCCAUCUAUCUCAGGCUUUGAUACUGAGAGGAGGGAGGAAUAAUUUAUUUUUCUUUUUUUUCAUUGGCUUGACAUAUGUAUCAGAUCAUGCUGGUAUUUACAAAUCUCUAUUUUUAAUAAAUGUUAUCUUUUAUUUAGCAUGGGCCAAAUAUCUGGAAAGGUCCCCUUGGAUGUCCAAAACUUGAUUUGGUUUUCUGAAAUGAUCCGUUAAUAAUGUGUCCCUUUCUCUAGAUGUUAUGACUCUAUUGCCUCUACAAUCUCUUUUACUUUUUUGUUCCAAACCACUUUAAAACAGUAUCAACCUCAGCCUUGGUUAGUGCAUGACUUCAGGUGAAUCAGUCUAUGGUAAGGUGUUAUGCAGAAUUGUCAGAAAUAUUAAAAUAUCAUGGGCAUGCAGACCAGAGAUGCAUGCUAUCUUGACUGAGGAUUAUGCAUGAACAAGGCCUAUGUGAUGGGUCAAUUAGAGACAAACACUGAAGAUUGGUGGGAGAGAUGUGACUGUUUGAAGAGCCAAUCUUUAAUUGAACUUUUUUUUUAAAAAAGAGAGUACCCACAUAAAACAGCCAAUACUUAAUAGAGUUAUUUACAAUUCCAUCACUGCAAAAAUCAGUUUAUCAUAUCAUGAUUUAAAUGACAGAUGUAUUGAGAUAUCAGUCAGAUGUAUCAGGAAAGUACAAGAAAAAAUGGCAAAUUUUAAAAUGGAGAAAAUCAGCCAGACCCUGCCAAUUAUCUCGCUGAGAGAUCUCUAUGCAUCAUGGGGCAUAUAUUAACUCCUGCAGGGGACUAUUUACAUAAAUGACUCCUCCAUUGCAGUAAAUGGUACCCACUAAUGCCCUGACAUACACUUAUAAAAUAACUGAUUUACACCCCCAAAAGCUUGUUCUCUGAAAGAAUUUGGAUGUAUUGAUACUACUUGAACAAUCUCUCCUAGAAUAUAAAUGCCUCCCUAAGAAUGGCACCUCACCCUCACCUAAGGCUGGCCUUCCAUGUAGGUGAAAUUGGCAAUCACCUACAUAGUGAAAUUUUUAGGCAGCAAAGAAGUCCUCCUGCCAAAAAUAACUCAUCUAGCACAUAGGACAUGCCUGCUUUUCUACCAUGGGAGACAGUUUUUCCUUUGUUUUUUUUUCAUAGGCUAGAUUUUUUAAAAAUGCAAAUACUCUUGGAAUUUUGACACAUGGAAAGAAUUGAACUAAAUAAUCCCUGCGAUUUAGUCUUCAACUAAUUCAUAUUAAGGUGUUAGUGACUUUUAUCCUAACAAGUGCCCGGGUGAUAUAAAACAAACAAAAAAGAAAAAAAAACCCAGCAACAAAAA